UAAGGAAUCUUCCACAAUGGGCGCAAGCCUGGUGGAGCGACGCCGCGUGCCCGAUGAAGCCUUUCGGGGUGUAAAGGGCUUUUAGGGGGGAUGAGAUGGACAGUACCCCCUGAAUAAGUCUCGGCUAACUACGUGCCAGCAGCCGCGGUAAUACGUAGGAGACUAGCGUUGUCCGGAAUUACUGGGUGUAAAGCGCGUGUAGGCGGCAUACCAAGUCUGUUGUGAAAUCGCCCGGCUCAACUGGGCGCGGUCAAUGGAAACUGGUAAGCUGGAGGACGGUAGAGGCGAGUGGAAUUCCCGGUGUAGUGGUGAAAUGCGUAGAGAUCGGGAGGAACACCUGUGGCGAAGGCGGCUCGCUGGGCCGAUCCUGACGCUGAGACGCGAAGGCGUGGGGAGCGAACGG
rnacentral:rRNA from 1 species